rnacentral:lncRNA from 1 species
GUGCAACAUGGUUAUGGGUACUACAGUGGAUGUGAGUGUGUAGACCUUGUACAAUAGAGCUUAUAGGCUAAUGAGAAGACAGGAAGAAACAACAGGAACACAUAUAGCUGGAAUGCAGAUGGGAUCUGUGCUACUUACGCUAGCCAUGGGAUGAUUAGAACAAGAUAAGAGACAUGAGGAAGACUUCUUCAAGGAGGUGCUCAAGCCAUGUUUUGGAAAAGAGAACUCAAGGUCUGGCAGGGAGAAAGGAGCAAGGUCCUCUUCUCCCUGAAGGCUGUCACAGUUCCUGUGCAGAGAGAGAGGGCACUGCAGCACCCAGGCGCUGACUGCCUUUUGUCAGUCUCAUUUGCAGGCCCCCAGCUGGAGAACCCAGGAGGAAGAGGAAAAAAGUUUUUUCCUCCUCUACACUCCCCAUGCAUGACUAAAGAGUAGGAGGAGUCAGCAAGGCAGACAUAUAUAGUACCCAGGAGGUGGACAAACAACUGCCUUGGUGGAAACUCUGUCCUUUCUGGACUUAUCCUGGUGCCACUGAGACUGUGCAGAUUUAGAUCUACAAUCCACCUGGAAUUGAUUUUUGUAUAUGGAGUGAGGUCCCACACUUACAGGGAAAGCAUCACCCGAAAGUGAGAAUGCCUAGAGGCAGGAAUCAUGGAGGCUUCCUUAACCGUCUGUCUGCAACAGCAGGUGCUAGAGAUGACACUGCAGAGUAGAGAACAAAGGAAUCUUAGUAAUUGUUCAAUCCAAUCUCCACACUUUAAAGAUGAAGAAACUGGUAUUGAGAAAAAUACACAGCUUAUCCAAGGUUGCACUGCUGGUUGGUAGCUGAGAUGAAUUUAGAACCCACAUCUGAUGACUACACCAUAUUGCUCCCAGUUUUCCUGUCUGUUCCACAUGUAAAAGUCUGACUCUUCACUUCUCCUUUGAGUAUAUAGACUUUUAACAUUUUUGUAUGUCAAGAUGGACUUUUCCUCAUACCCAGCCCCUGCCUUUUCUCCUCCCUUCAUACCUUGCAGGAUCUUUAACAGAAUUUAAAAGGAGUUUUUUGUUUUGUUUUGAUGUAUCUAAUAAAAGUCAAGGGAGGGAGAGGGCCAGUAUAAGCAAGAGUACAGUUUCCUAGUUUGUAGAUGCGGUAGUCUGAGGAAUCAGAAACACACAAAGGUUUGGAGAACUGGUACAUGCUCCCAGGUGGGAAGCCAGGACUCUUGGUAGGAUCUUGAGGACAAGGCAAAGGACAAUAAGAGAGCGAGGGGAUCCUAGAGGUGGAAUCAAGGAAGAGAAACUAGAGAGAGAAAAAGGAACUGGCUAUCCAUCCAUGAUGGAUCCUGUGUGGACUGAUGGGUGGCUUGGCAUCAUCCUUUAGUAGACUUCAUGUGGUUGAAUAAUUGGCCAAUGGAAGGAAUUUCUUUUUUGGUAACAGACUCUGUGUGUACAGUUAUGGGUCUUAAUUUAUAAUAAAAGGUUACAUUGAAAAUUGA